ensembl:lncRNA
UGCUGAGCUCCAGGUUGCUGCUGUUUCCCUCCCUCAGGAUGACGUGUUCCUGCAUGUGUUGGAUGGCACCUGGCUCACAUCGUGCCGUGGUGUGGCACUCUGGGACACCUAGGAAGGUUUGCUGCGUGAUGGAGUCCAUGCUGUCUCCAUCCUCCCUUCAGUCUCCAAAUGCCUGGCUUACCAAGGAGGCCUCUUGUCUCAUGUUCAUGGAAGAGAACAGGAAGGUGACUGUGGCUGUGCUGCAUGUUGGAAAGUGAGGACAUGCUCAGGAAGCAUGGAACAAUGUCUAGCCAGAGAACUUAGUCUGAUGAAGCAAGUUUUCAUCUAAGCCUGCUUGUCUGGUGACAAGUCCCAUUUCAGCACAGGCAGCGUACUUACAGAUGAGCUUAUUAUGAGAAGAAGCCGCAUACAGACAGGAUUCUGCUACCUGUGGCAGAAAAAAGGUUUGAUCUGCGCAGGACCUCUCCAGACCCCUUCACCCUCACUUGGGAGGAAAAAUCGAACAGCAAGAAGGACAUGCUCAGAGGAGUUGGAUUACAGCUUACACGUGUAUUCGAACCCAGAGUUACACAACUGCAUGAAGAGCUGUGUGCAGAAAUGCUUUCUGAUUUCUGCUUACAACAGCCUAGGUACAAAAUCCCUGUUAUUUGUAAAGGAAACAGAAACGUUUGCUAGGUAGAGAAUUGCUGAAAAUGCUACACCUGCAAGAAGGUAGAAGAGUCCUUGAGAAUUCAGUGCUGGUUAGCACUGAUGAAACACAAGAUAGAUGGUGAAAUAUAUCCUUCAAAAACUGACACUUGUAUGUUUUGGCGCUUGGAGCUUGCACUGGUUGCUCACCCAUCGGAUGUAUUCUGACACAUGUAGUUCCUAGAGCUUUACUGCCUUGCACGCUUUGGCAGUUUUACUGAUCACCAGCGUUUUACUUUCCUUAUCAUUCUACCUUUAUUAGAUAAUUUUCUUCUCAAACGUCUUGAUCUCUGAGUAACAGCUCUGCUUCUGGCAGAGUUGUGCUGUUUCCAAAAGAAACAUCAAAGUGGUGUUUUCACGUAUGAGUGAAAGUGCGUUGCAGGGAAAGGCACUGUCUUAUAACCAAGUUUGUUUUUUAAGCUCAAAAUAAGCAGGAUUUGAAUGUUAUUAAAUAACAUUUUUUUUUGUGAGAAGGAACUGGAUUUAGAAAAAUGAACCGACUCUUCAGCCAGACCCGUCAUGAAUUGCAAAAGCAGCUGGGAGAUUUGGCCUGAGAAUCAGGUUGCUUUUUCUUUUUUCUUCGUCAGAGUUUGUAAGAGAUUUGGAGGGACAUAACAUUUAUUUCCUACUUCCCUGAGCUUCAGUCCAGGCCUUGGAAAAACCCAUCUGACAGUUUUGACCAGAGUCAUACUGGAACCCUUGUUUCUGGGAGAGUUACGAAUGUGCUUUGCUAGGAAAUGCUGUUCCUUAAUGAGCUCGUGAAGCCUACAAGGUCUACAUGCAGAAUGACUGCAGUGCAUGGCACCAUGUGGCCUGAGCAGGACCUCACUUGUGUUGGCAAGAGAUGCUGCUGGCACGUUCUUUGCCAUGGAAGCUACUGGAACACUUGUCUGCAACAUGUCAUGAGGACAUGGCAGUGACAGCUCAACACUGAUCAGGCUUCUUCAACCAAUAUGCAAACCAUUUAAAUAGUAGAGGAGCCCAAUCAAAAGGUGUUGCUCAAAAUUGUGCUUCAAAGGCUUAACCAAAAAAAUAAUCCAUGACAUUGCAUGAAGCAGUCAUAUUUACCUGUGCAUCUCCAUUUCUAUGAUAAUUUUGUAAUUCAAAGAUUGGAUUUGAGACUUUCAUAUGUGUUGAAUGUCUGUGUAAGCUCUGCUUACCCAGUUGGCACAAAGUGGUUGUUUCCUUGUGGAUCAGAAUUUAUACUUCUCAUUAAGCCAAAGUCAUUUCUAUUCACCAUUGUCACACUAAGUUGUGUCCUUUGGCAAUCCCCUAAUUCCAAAAGCCCAGUUGUUAAGUAAGCUUUGAUUAAAGGGGUCUCUUUUCAAGCCAAGUUUAUGGUAAUGUUAGAGAACACUAAGAGAGCAGAGCUGCACAGUACUGAAGGAUGUGGGGUGUCUCAAAUUGCCACUAGAGAAAAACACAUUCUUGAGGCAGGGUGUAGAGCUUUUCAUUUGAAACAUGCUCUGGUGCUCAAGUCCCCUCAAUCAAUGAUGUACUUGGCUCUUCAGCUACUAACUGGAGGAGUACGUGCAUGACUCUGAGCGUGGCACCAGGAGACACCUUCCUGCUCUGAUUGCUGAAGUAUUUCAGGCUGCAGUAUCAUGUGGCAAACUGCAAAAUCCUUUUCACUGUCCACUGAUCCGGCUGCAAGUAUUCUUUAUUAUAUUUUGCCUGUGAUAGAAGACACAUUUUCAUAUUUCCAGAAUGAUUAUUUUUGUAGGGUUCAACAGCUUUCCCCACUGCUCUUUAUCCAGAAUCACACUUUGCAGCAUCAUUUAGUUGUGGUGAAGAUAACAACAUUAUAUGCUGUGAAUGGACAGCUAGAUGAAUGCUACCCCACUUAGGUAAACUGCUUCUGUGCAUGCGCAAUUGUAAAUGGUAGAAAAGAAUGCCUUUCUGUAUUUUUUAUAACUCUACUUUUUGCAGCAACACUGCAUUUAGCUCACCACAACUAAAUGCACAGUUAGUAGAAGGAAUGUUCUGCCUAAGUAUCUGUUCGAACGUUUUGGGAACCCUCGGUGUAUUUGAUUAAACCUUUCUGUAGCCAGCAAAGCUCCUUGUGAAUGCAUAUGCAGCAAAGCAUUUGUACUCGUAUGCAGUGCUGCAGCUUAACUUGGUUAAUCCUAAGCCAACACUUCAGUAAUAAGCAAAUUUCUGAGUUAACUGUCAGUUCAGUCUUUAGCUAUCUAUUGAUGGUGUAUACCAGAGAUCGGUGCUUCCCUGAGGCACUGGUGUUUUGAUUUUCAUCUACCUGUAUGAGAUGAUGAAGUGUCACUCUUUGCAUUUCUUUUUUCUUAAUUGGGGAAUUUGCACUCAGGAAAAUUACACAACUCUCCAAAAAGGAGCAGGUGUUCAUAGCUGUUGGAAGAGGUCUAUGUCCUCCAUCACAGACCUGGCUUCUUCCUCAACUCAUUUGCUCCAGGAGGGUUUUAAAACUAUUUUUUGUAAGAGGAAAUAUACUGUCUUGUACUGAAAAUAGGCAGAACUAAUUUAUUCUAACUUGGUAUUUGUAGCUUGGAACUGUAGUCGGAGAGUCAGGUAACGUGGAGGGGUGGACUGGGACCUCUCCUUUAUGAUUAAUUAUUGCUGUUCCUUCAACAAAAGUCAUGAAAAAGUCCCUCCCAUAAUUACCUUAUAACGAAUGUCUCAUUCCUUUGCAGAAACCGGUAAGCAGUAAUUAUUUCUUAAAUUGUCUGAUUGCUUCUCUGACCCCUAGAAAUGGAUGCAGUAUCAUCAGGAUCACUAGCAGACAUGGAAGGCAGCGCUGUUUGCACAGGAGUGGAACAUUCCUGGUACUGGGGCCAUGGCCACGCUCUGCAGCAGAGAGAGGACACUGCAGGGUGACUCUACAGACAGGAAUAGGAGAGACAAUGGUCAUGGUGUGACACCCUGUGUAGUAUGUGGUACUGGGCACAUAAAGCUGAGGCACAUGAGAAAUCAUAUUGCAGGCACUGCCUUGAGCAACAGAGGUGAUGCUGAAUGUGCCAAAGAGAGCAGAUGUGCACAGACCUAUGGAGACGUGCAUAGGAUACCUAUGCAGAGUAUCCUGCUACAUGUAGAGGCACUGAAACUUCAUAGAAUUAUAGAAUGGCUUGGAUUGGAAAGGACCUUAAAGCCCACACAGUCCCAUCCCUGGCUAUGGGCUGGUUGCUCCCCAACAGCUCAGGCUGCCUGGGGCUCCAUCCAACCUGGCCCCUGUUGAUGCACCCCGGGACACAGUUGGCCUUCUGGGCUGCAACUGCACACUGCUGGCUCAUGUCAAGCUUUUGGUCCGCCAGGACCCCCAUGUCCUCGUCCACAGGGCUGCUCUCAAGGAGUUCUUCUCUCAGUCUGUACACAUAUCUGGGAUUGCACUGACCCAAGCGCGACAGCAUGCACUUGGCCUUGUUGAACCUUGUAGGUUCACACGGGCUCACUUCUCAGGCAUUUCCAGGUUCCUCUGGAUGACGUCCCUUCCUCUGUUGCACCACUGAAACACUCAGCUUGGUGUCGUCUGCACAUAGCGCGGGCUGCAGCCUGAACAAGAUCAGCUCAGAUGUGUUCUGAGGAUAUUCCCAUGUGUGUCCACAGCAACUGAAUGUCUGUGAAAGGCUGCACGCUGAGCUGCCCUGCAUAUUGUUAAGGAGAUGUGGUUCCACGCUGAUCCCAACACUCCUACAGUCUAUCACGUAGCUGCUUCUACCCACAGAAUGAGAAGAACAGGGAGUUAACCUUCUGUAAUGUGGACAUUAAUACACAUCAUAGAAUCAUAGAAUGGCCUGAGCUGAAAAGGACCACAGUGCUCAUCUUGUUCCAACCCCCUGCUAUGUGCAGGGUCGCCAACCACCACACCAGGCUGCCCAGAGCCACAUCCAGCCUGGCCUUGAAUGCCUCCAGGGAUGGGGCAUCCACAACCUACUUGGGCAAGCUGUUCCAGUGCCUCACCACCCUCUGGGUGAAAAUGACUUAAAAUAAGCAGUGUUGUGUGACAGGUGUCAUGAGGAGAGAUGACAUGGCACAUUUAAUAGGUUUCUGAGGUGUUGCACUACUUCGGAUGAAACCCCAAAGUGCUUGUUACCAGUUCUAGAGAUGGUACCAGAAAUACAUGAGCACUUAUAGGUGCGGAUUAUGUGUAUUGUUAGCUACUAAAAUAGCUAUUGAAAUAGUUGCUGAGGUAUUUGGUGGGGCUUCUACUUGCCAGAGCAUUUGUAUUUGAUCUCACAGUUAUAUGCAUUACACUUCUAUAAUACAUGAACAGAGCUUUUCAAUGCACGGACCCUAUUCUAUCCCACCAAAAACUAAUUGGUAAGAAAAUCACCCCUCUGUGGAGAGCAGCAGCAUUUUCUUGAGACUUAAUAGAUCACACUGUCCACAUCUCCUUUGCUCCUCCAUGACCAUUUGCUGCUAUGCACUUCAGUUGCUUGCACCAGAACUUGUGUUAUUUUUGCAUAUGAUGUAUAUAGUAAAGGGCUUUUACAAUAAAUAGAAUGUAUGGCUUCAUUUGCUGCAGCAUGCAAAUGAGAGCUCUGUGCCGUGUCGUACAGAACAGCUGCUUACUCAGCAUCUGGCGUUGGCUGCUGAUUGUCCUUCAGCUGUAGAAAUAAGAGAUUAGCAAAUAAGUGUGGGAAGUAUGACCACCUUGUGCAAGGCACCACCUUCUUUAUCUCCCUGUGGCGUUACGGUCGCUGAAGGUUUGAUAGAUACAUGUCAUUGGAUGGGGAACGAAGCCUAAGGCCCAGCAGGGUUGGUGGCCUGUCCUGCUCACACCAAAUGGGGGGCAAAGCUGGAAGCUCAAGAACCCUUGUCUGCAAAGUAGACUUCCAUCAUCUUGUUUUCUCUAAUUCGUCCGUUUUGGUUGCGAAUUCUCAGGAGGCAGAAGCUGUCUCAUCCCAUGCAUUACUCAGUGCUCAGAACAGCAUGUCUUCAUCAUGGCUGGUAUUUCUAAGAAUUAUAGCCUUUCCAAACAAAGGCGCAUCAUGGAGAAAUAAUAACGCUCAUCCUUAGUGAGUGUCCUAUCCAACAUCGCAGGGAUUAAGUACAAAUAGAGAAUAAAACUACUUUUCUGGUUCUAAAAAUAAUUCUUCUGGGUCAUGUGGAAAAUCAUUGUGGAGGUUAUUUGUGGGAGUUCAAAUGUUCAGUUGUUCUACUUUCCUUUUUCUAG